rnacentral:rRNA from 1 species
UCAGAGGGGGGUAGAAUUNCACGUGUAGCAGUGAAAUGCGUAGAGAUGUGGAGGAAUACCGAUGGCGAAGGCAGCCCCCUGGGAUAAUACUGACGUUCAUGCUNGAAAGCGUGGGUAGCAAACAGGAUUAGAUACCNUGGUAGUCCACGCCCUAAACGAUGUCAAUUAGCUGUUGGGCAACAUGAUUGCUUAGUAGCGUAGCUAACGCGUGAAAUUGACCGCCUGGGGAGUACGGUCGCAAGAUUAAAACUCAAAGGAAUUGACGGGGACCCGCACAAGCGGUGGAUGAUGUGGAUUAAUUCGAUGCAACGCGAAGAACCUUACCUGGUCUUGACAUGUACGGAAUCUUCCAGAGACGGAAGAGUGCCGUCGGGAGCCGUAACACAGGUGCUGCAUGGCUGUCGUCAGCUCGUGUCGUGAGAUGUUGGGUUAAGUCCCGCAACGAGCGCAACCCUUGUCAUUAGUUGCCACCAUUCAGUUGGGCACUCUAAUGAGACUGCCGGUGACAAACCGGAGGAAGGUGGGGAUGACGUCAAGUCCUCAUGGCCCUUAUGACCAGGGCUUCACACGUCAUACAAUGGUCGGUACAGAGGGUAGCCAAGCCGCGAGGUGGAGCCAAUCUCAGAAAACCGAUCGUAGUCCGGAUUGCACUCUGCAACUCGAGUGCAUGAAGUCGGAAUCGCUAGUAAUCGCAGGUCAGCAUACUGCGGUGAAUACGUUCCCGGGUCUUGUACACA